rnacentral:ncRNA from 1 species
UGUAUCCUUCGGGGCUGGGUGAAAAUCCCGACCGACGGUAAUAAAGCUAUUGCUUUAGAGCCCGUGACCCGUUAGCAUCUGCUAACGGUUGAUUCAGUGAAAAGCUGGAGCCGACAGUGAAAGUCUGGAUGGGAGAAGGAUGAA